UAUAUAUUGACUGUGAAAGUAUUUUUCAGUCAUCAGUUGCUUGGUUGUCCCUUCCUCAGCCACUACUUUUCUAUAGUACCUUUAUGCUCCUCUCCAACAGAUUCAGCCCCUCCGGCAGUGUUGUCCCCUUGGCUGAGAGACACAGAGCCCGAAGUGAGUCUCCUGGGAGAGUGGAUGAGCCCAAGCAGCCAAGCUCCCAGGUAUGUUGUUGUGGGCUUACA
rnacentral:lncRNA from 1 species